AUACGGAGGGUGCAAGCGUUACUCGGAAUCACUGGGCGUAAAGCGCGCGCAGGCGGGCUGAUAAGUUGGAUGUGAAAGCCUACGGCUCAACCGUAGAACUGCAUCCAAAACUGUCAGUCUAGAGUCUGGGAGGGGAAGAUGGAAUUAGUUGUGUAGGGGUAAAAUCCGUAGAGAUAACUAGGAAUACCAAAAGCGAAGGCGAUCUUCUGGAACAGUACUGACGCUGAGGCGCGAAAGCGUGGGGAGCAAACAGUAUUAGAUACCCUAGUAGUCC
rnacentral:rRNA from 1 species